UACGAAGGGGGCUAGCGUUGCUCGGAAUCACUGGGCGUAAAGGGUGCGUAGGCGGGUCUUUAAGUCAGGGGUGAAAUCCUGGAGCUCAACUCCAGAACUGCCUUUGAUACUGAGGAUCUUGAGUUCGGGAGAGGUGAGUGGAAACUGCGAGUGUAGAGGGUGAAAAUUCGUAGAUAUUCGCAAGAACACAGUGGCGAAGGCGGCUCACUGGCCCCGAUACUGACGCUGAGGGCGCGAAAAGCGUGGGGAAAGCAAACAGG
rnacentral:rRNA from 1 species